rnacentral:lncRNA from 1 species
UCGAUAUUGCUGCUACAGUGUGUUUGCUACAGUACCGUCGUUACUGUUCACACACUUUUUUUUGGUUUUUUUUUUUUUUUUUACCUGAGUCAUUAGAAAACAAGAAAAAUCAGUAAUAAAUGAAAAUUAAACCAUAUUUAAAACAAACCUAACAGUGGGUUGCCUCCCACUCAGCGCUUAUUUUUAGUCAUUGGCUUGGACUUCUAGAGAUCUGAUUAAAUCCGCAUAAGAAUGAGAACUUGCUCCAACCCAAGUCUCAAUGUCUACUCUUUGAAGCUUUAUCAUUCUUGUGUGAAAGCCUCCUCCAUAGACUUUUCUCCUUUGUCUAUCAUCUCAACAAUAAGGAGUGCUUUAAGCUUUGCAUAUGGAUGUGAGAAGCAUGUGCUGCGCAAUCUUGAUUUUCUGAUACUAUUUGAGAAGUAAGGAGUCAAUGGUAAUUGAGAACCUCCUUUGGUUCGUUUCCGCUUCAUCCAAUUUCUCCCCUUCUUUCCCAUAGACUUGUCUGAAUGCGUGGUGGUAUCUCCAUAAAAAAUAUUUCCACACAAUUCAUACUCAUUCUGCUCUGAUUCGCGUCUGGUGUCGAUCGAUGGUAUAUGAUCGGUAUCGAUCGAUGAUGAAGUUUUAGUGUCGAUCGAUUUGCUAAUGUCGUUCGAUGGUGCUUCUGCUGGGCCUUCAUCUACUUCAUCUCUAAAUCGCAGCCCUCUCUGAGAAGCUUCUACAUGAUGUUUAUCAUUCAAUACCUCAAUGUAAGAACUCAGAUACACACCUUUAUCUGGUGGGAUAGGAGAUUCAACUUCAAACACUG